rnacentral:rRNA from 1 species
AUGAACGGCCGGCGGCGACGACGGCGAGACGAACGGCCGGCGGCGACGACGGCGAGCGGUGUUGCAGCCCACAGCUCCAAGAAUACGCGGAGGAGGUGGCCCGGGUCGGCGUCGGCGCCAUCCAGCGCGGGCCACGGGCCCGCUUCCAAGUGCGUCAGCGCGCCGACCACCCACGCCGGGUCCUCCAAGUGCCGCUUCCACCGCACCAACUCCCAGGGCCACGGCCACGGCCAGGGCCAGGGAAGCCGCCCUUCUUCGCCCCCUUCACCAGCCGCAGCCAACGCGGUGCCGCGGCACCCGGCCUCGCUGUCCUCGUCCUCCGGCACCGUCGCGACCUAG